GAUGAAGAACGCAGCGAAAUGCGAUACUUGGUGUGAAUUGCAGAAUCCCGUGAACCAUCGUGUCUUUGAACGCAAGUUGCGCCCGAAGCCAUUAGGCCGAGGGCACGCCUGCCUGGGCGUCACACGUCGUUGCCCCCCCAUCUACUCCUUCGGGAUUGCGGGGGGCGGAUGAUGGCCUCCCGUGCGCCUCGUCGCGCGGUUGGCAUAAAUGCCAAGUCCUCGGCGACACACGCCACGACAAUCGGUGGUUGCGAAACCUCGGUUGCCCGUCGUGUGCGGUCGUCGCGCAUCGAGGGCUCGAAAAAAUUGCCGGGCUCCGGCUCGGCUUUCAACGCGACCCCAGGUCAGGCGGGGUUACCCGCUGAAUUUAAGCAUAUCAAUAAGCGGAGGA
rnacentral:misc_RNA from 1 species